UGAUUUCUGAUGGAUUCUUUAAUUAAAUAUAUUUUUUUUUCCCCCUUCCUGCCAAUUCUACGGAUCUACCUUUCAGUUUAGUGGCAAUACCCUUAAAUUACUCUGCCAACUGCCAGUAAAAUCAAAAGAAGACUUUGUGUGAUCAACUUCUUUGGUAAAUUAUUUCUGAGUUUAAGGUUAGUGCUUCUGCUGAUCUGUUCUCCAAGAGAGUCCACACAUCCACUGUGCCACUAUGGGGCAGCAGCCAAAGUAGAGGGACUUCCUUCUCCCCCAGCAACUUGGGAAAGGGCAAAUGGGUCCUAGGUGAGGGCUCAGACAAAGUGCAGCCCGAAGACUCCUUUCAUUUGCCACAAUGGCAAUCAAUUUGUGGCAAAUGGACCUGCAUCUGUCCCCUUGCCUGGAUGUGGUUUCACCAUGGCCCCUCUCUGGAGCCAGGCCUGGAGGUGAGGCAUGUUGGUGAGUGCCUGGGUUUCCCACAUGGAGCCUGGGCAGCCACAGCCCAAAGAAAAGAUGUGGGUUCCUCUUCCAUGGGCUAAUCACCUGUGGGUGGGUCCAAAGAGGAAGGGUGCAAUGUGGGAUCGGUGGUGGCCAAUGGAGAGGACUUUGGUGGUCUGAUCCUUCACGAUGGAAGCGCCAAGAUCUCUCUAACAUCCCACUGUUGCUCCUUGCUGCUCAAUUAUGUCUGGUCAUCAUUCACUUUCCUGCUCCAAUCUCCUUGGUCUGUGCUUGGGUAUCGCCAACUUCCAACUAGAAUCUUUCUGGAACAUGACUUGUGCUGAAGGCUCUCCUCCUUCCCCUCAACAUAAGCCUUCAACCUCUGGAGCCAUCUCUGUGCACAUUCUUGUAAAUAAACUUCACUAAACUUUGUGUGAGUCA